GACAUUAUCAGUGGGCCUCACUUCCUCCCACAACUCAACACAUGGAAACACAUCUGGAGGACAAAGAUUUUGAACUGGGGGAGGGUGGUCCCAGGCCAGGAAAAAGUCCCAGCCUGUGUAGUGAAGAUCUGCAACCUGCUUGUAUCAUCUGUCAGGGUCCAGUUUCUGAACAUCAUCUUCGUACUAAGCCCCUUCUCCCCACCCCCUCAUUUGCAGGCUUCCAAAAAAAUUAGCAAGAUCAAGAAGGGAAAGGAUGAGAAUGGAAACAAAACCUCACAAUAAGAUGGAGGAGAGUUCAACAGGAAAAUUCACAUGUGCUCUUGAACUGGGUGUACAGACCCUUUUGAUGGGAUCCCUUCCCAACCAGUACUACCCCAGUUUGAGAGUUAAAAGACAUUUGGAUCCAGGAAUACAGUCACUGUGAGAGAAAGGAGGAAGUGGUUCAAGGAAGUUGUCUGGAGCCUUACAACAAAGCCUGUGCUGAGGACCCAGGCUUUAGGCUGAAGUUCCAAUAGCAAAGUGGGCUAGAAUUCCCUUCCUCCAUCAGCAGUGAAGGCUCACGUUACUUCCUGACGGUUCCAACCAGUCUGUUUUAGACCCAAGAAAGCAGGACAGGCUAAGAAAUACAGUCACCUACAGCAGGCUUAUUAUAGUCCUAGCCUGGGGCAGGCAUGCUGGGAAACAUGUAACCCCUGUGUUUUCCAUAGCUGGAGAGAGGUUGUGCUGAUGGUCUCUCCUUGAAGGGGCAGAGCAAAAAAUAUCUAGAGAGCACUUUUAUGGAGCUGUACUCAGCCUAUGGGACCUCAGAAAGACUGAUAAUCCAAGGCUCUAUUUAAGAUGCAGUGAUGCCACA